rfam:Aphanomyces astaci strain APO3 cont1.1041, whole genome shotgun sequence.
UCCCUGGCUUUUUUCAAAGCCACCCUCAUCUCGAGAAAUGCGUCC